CCUACGGGGGGCAGCAGUUUCGAAUUAUUCCCAAUGGACGCAAGUCUGAGGGUGCAAUACCGCGUGGAGGAUGAAGGUUUUCGGAUUGUAAACUCCUGUCGUCAGGGACAAAACCUAUUAUUUUAAUAGAAUGAUAGCUGAUUUAACUUGAAGAGGAAGAGGUGGCUAACUCUGUGCCAGCAGCCGCGGUGAUACAGAGACCUCAAGCGUUACUCGGAUUCACUGGGCGUAAAGGGUACGUAGGUGGUAGUGUGUGUAGGACGUGAAACUCCGGA
rnacentral:rRNA from 1 species